rnacentral:rRNA from 1 species
UACGAACCGUCCAAACGUUAUUCGGAAUCACUGGGCUUAAAGGGUACGUAGGCGGCGCUGUCAGUCGGGUGUGAAAUCCCACGGCUCAACCGUGGAAUUGCGCCCGAUACUGCAGCGCUUGAGGGAGACAGAGGUAAGCGGAACUGAUGGUGGAGCGGUGAAAUGCGUUGAUAUCAUCAGGAACACCGGUGGCGAAGGCAGCGCUCUGGUCGGCAUCUGACGCUGAGAGGCGAAAGCGUGGGGAGCGAACGGG